rnacentral:miRNA from 1 species
UGGGUGGCGCUGUGUGGAGC